CUCUAAUACAAUUUUUAGAUUAUAUAUUUUAAGGAAUAUAUACAGUAAAAGUAUUAGUAUUAAAGAGAUUUAUUCCUUCCUAAUAUAGGUAAAAAUGCAUCGGUAGAAGAGGUAUUAGUAAAAUUAUUUAAUAAU
rnacentral:ncRNA from 1 species